ensembl:ncRNA F25H8.20 ncRNA
CGAUAAUGAUGAUUCUCGGACAGUCUUCUCCAUUCCCCCUCUUCUCAAUUCUCUUCCACAAACACACAUGAACACGAUAAUUGGGAGCGGUGGUGCAUUUACCUUCUACCGCCACCCAACAUCAUCUAUCCAUCAGCAAGUAGUAGAAAGCGAGUACCGGUCACUUUUCUCGUCACCACCACAACUACCGGACACCUAAUUGGUAUGUUCAGGUCGGGACGAAAUGUUGCAGAGAUGGGUUAGUUAAUGGAACAAUUGU